UACGUAGGGUCCGAGCGUUGUCCGGAAUUAUUGGGCGUAAAGAGCUCGUAGGCGGCUUGUCGCGUCGUUCGUGAAAACCUGCAGCUCAACUGCAGGCUUGCGGGCGAUACGGGCAGGCUAGAGUUCGGUAGGGGAGACUGGAAUUCCUGGUGUAGCGGUGAAAUGCGCAGAUAUCAGGAAGAACACCAAUGGCGAAAGCAGCUCUCUGGGACGGUACUGACGCUGAGACGCGAAAGCGUGGGGAGCGAACAGG
rnacentral:rRNA from 1 species